GCCGCUCGGCCCAGCCCCGGGCGCCCGCGGCGCUUUGCACACAUCGCCGCGGCCGGGGGCGACGCGCUCCGGGCAGCUUGCACCCGGCGCGCUCCCGGCCGAUGCGCCCAGCCCUGCUUUGCGCCGGGCUCGCCCCUCGCCCAAACGUCGGCGACCGUGUGCAGGGCGUUUGCGCCCGCUCCCUCUCCCCGCCGCAGCGUAAAUAGGAGGCAGAGGCCACUCGGUGGCAAACCCGCUGCCUGACGGCUGAGGAGCUCCGUGCCGCGGCGCCGUCCACGAGCCAUGGACACCCCAGACUGCGUCUGCRAGGCCGGCUGCUGCUCCUGCUGCCCGGCCGGCUGCAAGAAGUGUGUCGCGGGCUGCAUCUGCAAAGAACCGGCGUCUCCAAAAUGUAGCUGCUGCCAGUGAUGUGCCUGGGGGCUUUCUGGUCCCUCGGGAAUAUUUUCUACGUGAAAACUCUGUUUUUUGUAAUUUUUUUAGCGCUGCGGUAGCUGCUCUCGGUCUCGGUGCACCUGUGCGUGGCAGGAAGGCGAUGGCAAUAAAGGCUUGAGG
rnacentral:lncRNA from 1 species